CCUGACGACCAUAGCGAGUUGGAUCCACCCCUUCUCAUCCCGAACAGGGCAGUGAAACGACUCUACGCCGAUGAUAGUGCGCAUGCGCGUGUGAAAGUAGGACAUCGUCAGGC
rfam:Candidatus Glomeribacter gigasporarum BEG34, WGS project CAFB01000000 data, contig: Contig1844rna-1692